GACGAACGCUGGCGGCGUGCCUAACACAUGCAAGUCGAGCGGGGGGAGUACUUCGGUACAAACCUAGCGGCGGACGGGUGAGUAACACGUGGGUAACCUGCCUCAAAGUGGGGGAUAGCCUUCCGAAAGGAAGAUUAAUACCGCAUAACCCAUAGCUUCCGCAUGGAAGCAAUGGUAAAGAUUUUUCGCUUUGAGAUGGACCCGCGGCGCAUUAGCUAGGUGGUGAGGUAACGGCUCACCAAGGCCACGAUGCGUAGCCGACCUGAGAGGGUGAUCGGCCACAUUGGAACUGGGACACGGUCCAGACUCCUACGGGAGGCAGCAGUGGGGAAUAUUGCACAAUGGGCGAAAGCCUGAUGCAGCAACGCCGCGUGAGUGAUGAAGGCCUUCGGGUUGUAAAGCUCUGUCUUUUGGGACGAUAACGACGGUACCAAAGGAGGAAGCCACGGCUAACUACGUGCCAGCAGCCGCAGUAAAAC
rnacentral:rRNA from 1 species